GUUGUAUGGUUAAGUGACUAAGCGUACACGGUGGAUGCCUUGGCAGUCAGAGGCGAUGAAGGACGUAGUAACUUGCGAUAAGCGUAGAUUAGGCAGUAACAGCCACUUGAGUCUACGAUUUCCGAAUGGGGAAACCCACGUGCAUAAGCACGUAUCCUUACCUGAAUACAUAGGGUAAGGAGGCAAACCGGGGGAACUGAAACAUCUAAGUACCCCGAGGAGAAGAAAUCAACAGAGAUUCCGAAAGUAGCGGCGAGCGAAAUUGGACUAGCCCUUAAGCUUUUAAUGAUGCAGGUGAAGCCUCUGGAAAGUGGCGCAAUAAAGGGUGAUAGCCCCGUAACUGUUCCAUCAUUAUAAGUGAAAUCGAGUAAGGCGGGACACGUGUUAUCCUGUCUGAACAUGGGGGGACCAUCCUCCAAGGCUAAAUACUACUGACUGACCGAUAGUGAACCAGUACCGUGAGGGAAAGGCGAAAAGAACCCCUGUGAGGGGAGUGAAAUAGAACCUGAAACCGUGUACGUACAAGCAGUAGGAGCAGGCUUUGUCCUGUGACUGCGUACCUUUUGUAUAAUGGGUCAGCGACUUAUAUUCAGUGGCAAGGUUAACCGAAUAGGGGAGCCGUAGGGAAACCGAGUCUUAACUGGGCGCUUCAGUCUCUGGAUAUAGACCCGAAACCGGGUGAUCUAGCCAUGGGCAGGUUGAAGGUUGAGUAACAUCAACUGGAGGACCGAACCGACUAAUGUUGAAAAAUUAGCGGAUGACUUGUGGCUAGGGG
rnacentral:rRNA from 1 species